AGGACUGUAACUCGAACACGAACUCAGAACCCAACAAAACCCCUUGGAUCUUGGUGUUUUAUAGAAUUUUUAGGUAGUAUUGUUUGAACUGAGUUUGUUUUGGAGUUUGGUGGCUAUGGAGGAUUUGGUUCAAGGCUGGUGGUUCUGGGUGGAACUAACGUGAAUAAAGUUGUAGUCACGGUUGUGAAGAUCACACGGCUAUGAAUAGAGGUGCGACGAAGCUGCACUGGUUCUUACACGAUGGACGAAAAAAGAAGAAGAAAAAUUGGUUUCUUAGCAAUGGAGUAGAGGAGAAAGAAUUAAGGGGAGAAGAGAAGAGAUCAAACUUUUCCCGAGAUCUCUCUGUUUUUUUUUUUUUUUUUAAACUCUCCCUCUCCUCUUGCUAUCUCACCGUGUGUCUCUCCUAG
rnacentral:lncRNA from 1 species